rnacentral:tRNA from 1 species
CCGGGAUAGCUCAACCGGUAGAGCAGAGGACUGAAAAUCCUCGU